UCUCCAUAUCUCAUCUUCGCAACCACCACGUCGCCUCCAUGAGUCUCGGGGGAGAACCCUAGCCGCCACUCCUUCCCUCCCCUAUACCUCCUCCCCGUCUCGCCGCCGCCGCCGGAGUGCGCCCCGGGGCGAAGCUAGGGCCAGCGCCUCCAUGCGUCUCGGGGGAGAACCCUAGCCACCACCCCUUCCCUUCCCUAACUCCUCCCUGUCUCGCCGCCCCCGCCGGAGGGCGUGCCGGGGCGAAGCUACGGCCAUCCCCAAGGAGGGCGACGACGGGGCACCUGGUUUGUGUCGGCUUGGCACGGGCGCGCGGCAAACGCUUGGUGCAGCAGCGUUGAGGCACGAACUACGUUGCCGCAGGAGGGUCGCCGACACGAGUUGCUGGCUUGCUGCCUGGCUUAACGGUGACGCGGGCAGGGCACCAUGGUGCUAUCUGACCCCCUGCCUUGCUUCCGCCGGAUGCGGGCUCUCUCCACUCCUCAUGCAUCCGCCGUGUUGGUCCAAGCAGAGGACGAUGUCCAGCCCUUGCCAACAAGAUCAUAAUGAUUUCAGAAGUACGGUCUAAUGGAAGGGUGGAGGAAGAUUUUUGAAAUGGCAAAGUCGUCAGCAAGGACAUGAGACAAGAGGUCUGACCGAACUACGUCAGUCAACUACGUCAGGUGCACCUUGACCUUCUGCCUGAGCAGAUGAACUAGCCACUGCCCUGGAUGUUGUGUCGUCCUUCAGUCCCGCUCUGCUGCUUCUGACCAAGCACCUCAAACCAAGACUGAUUGCUCUAUUAUUGUGAUCGGUCAAUACAAUAUUGGUAUAUAUGUCUUGUAUAGUGCCCUUUUGCAUUAGUUUUCUUAUAUUUGCGGAGUGUGCAAAUGAGUUUCUUCUUACCUUUACUCAUUAAUAAUAGUAGUGAGCGAUUCUCUGUGUUCUGAGUUAUCUAUUGGAUCAAUGUAUUUUCUGGAUUUAUGAUGUUCAUUUUCAAAGUGAUAUUUGUACUAUGUUCAAAUUUUGAUGCAAGUUUUAACAUGUCAAUGGGAUCAUUAUGGCUUGAUUUUUUC